rnacentral:rRNA from 1 species
GAUCCUGGCUCAGGAUGAACGCUGGCGGCGUGCCUAACACAUGCAAGUCGAGCGAUUUACUUCGGUAAAGAGCGGCGGACGGGUGAGUAACGCGUGGGUAACCUGCCCUAUACACACGGAUAACAUACCGAAAGGUAUGCUAAUACGGGAUAACAUAAGAGAUUCGCAUGGAUUUCUUAUCAAAGCUUUUGCGGUAUAGGAUGGACCCGCGUCUGAUUAGCUAGUUGGUAAGGUAACGGCUUACCAAGGCG